rnacentral:rRNA from 1 species
AGAACGAACGCUGGCGGCAUGCCUAAUACAUGCAAGUCGAACGAACUCUUCGGAGUUAGUGGCGCACGGGUGCGUAACGCGUGGGAAUCUGCCCCUUGGUUCGGAUAACAGUUGGAAACGACUGCUAAUACCGGAUGAUGACGAAAGUCCAAAGAUUUAUCGCCAAGGGAUGAGCCCGCGUAGGAUUAGCUAGUUGGUGAGGUAAAGGCUCACCAAGGCAACGAUCCUUAGCUGGUCUGAGAGGAUGAUCAGCCACACGUGGGACUGG